ensembl:lncRNA
GCCUUCUGGUUAAACGCUUCAAGCUGGAAAAAUAACCAAAGAGAAAAACGAUUUAUGAUGACACAAUGAUGACGGCUGUCACAACAGGAAACUCAGAGCAUAAAGCAGGGAAACAUUUCAAGAUUAUAGCAGAGAUAAUGUAAAACAUCGCAACUGACUGAGAUCAGGAUUAUGAAACUGAGAUUCAGAUGAAGUAAUGAUACUCAGAAAAGUAUAUCUAAGGUUUUAAAUGACAUUAAUGACAGCUGUUACAGAUGCAGGGCAUCAGCCAUGUCUUCAAAUGUUUAAAAUUCUAAAAAUGGAAAUGAUUUUGGUGACAUGCAACAGCGUCUGCUUAUGAAUAUAAUACAUACUGACACAUCUUAAGUGUCUCAGACUCUAUUGGGAAUUCUGCUGAAGUUGAUCCUUGGACCAAAAACACACAAGAAAUACUUUGAGCUUCCUACAGUUUUAGUUUUAGUAAAGAAAAAAAUAAAGUAAUAAUCCAUCCCCAGAAUUAGAUCUUUUUUAAUUUUUUGCACAACAAAAUUUAAUAAAGUUAUGCAAAAUUUUACCACCAUUCAACUAAAGGUUUCUGAUUUAGAGCAUCUUAAAGUAUAUAUGGAGCAUUUUAAUAUGUAAAAUACAUUCAUAAGUACAGGAGAUAAAACAAAUUUUUAGGGCCGAUAAAGCAGACAAAACAUCCAGGGUGCCAAUACUCUGUUCCUCUAUGUCACAGAUAUUACAUGUUUUACUCUGAUACAUCCAAGAUACUGAUGCUCACAGUGGGAUUAAGAAUUUCAUGUGGAUAUCUCCUGUACUAUCCUGUAUGAGGGUUAAAAAUCUAUUUUUAAAAAAAGAAAGUAAAACAAAUUUGAACCCCUUCUAACUGAAAAUGUAAUAAUUGUCCUCAGAGUCCGGGCAUUUCAUUAUCAACAACAACAACAAAAAAAACCUGGAAGACCUGAGCAAGGCAAAUAAUGGCACAACCUAACCUCUUAGCAUGACAUGGCCUUGAGAGCUGGCCAAACCGACUGUCCACCAACCUUUUUCCUCAGGUUCGCCUUUAUUUCCUCCUCUGUUAGCUGCGGCUUCUCCUCUUUUAUCUCCUCAGUGCUGGGGUCAUUACCCACAGUCUUUGUGCAUACCUUUGAGUCCUGUGGUGCCAGUGGUGACUUUAAUGCAUUAUUGUGUUUCUCUAAAAUACCUUUGGGAUUCCUGAAAUCUCCCAUAAGUUCUUUGUGACCCCGUCUCCAGUUGUGUCUACCUGUGAGGCUCUGAGAGGAUGCCUGCUCGGUAUUGAUGACUCUCAGGCAGCGAGAAACAGAGGCUGACCCAUCUUGGCCUUCGCUCACAGACAGGUCCGGGUUUGGAAAUGAGGCACUGUUCGUAAGAAGGCUGGGAUCAGGGAGAGCCAUGUUAGGUGCCACUACAGAGCCAGGAAAGUGUGGGUAAGGAUGGCCGCUGGCAGAAAGAGAGGGAGGAAUGUUAUACUGAUUAUAUGACCAGUAAGGAUUUGUAGCACCGCUGUAGUGGCCACUCUGGGUAACAGCGAAAUGUGAGUACUGAGACAAAGUGUAGUCUGGAAACGGAGAAGCAGCAGGAUGAGGAAACACGGGAUUUUGUGAAUAAGGAUAAGGAGAAAAAUGUUUCGAGUCUUUUCGCUCUCUGUCCCUCAGUGUUUCUCUGCUGUUCCGUCUAUCUCUGUGUUUCAGUCUCUCUCUGCUUCUUUCUCGCGAGCGGCUUCGUUCGGCCUUUCGCCGCCGUUUCAAAUCUCUGCUGCGAGAGCGCCGACGGCGUGAGGGGCUUGGGCUAGAGUUUCUAGAGGCUGACCUGGAGGAAGAUGAGGAAGAGGAAUUUCUGUGAUCUCUAAGGGAGCGUGUCUGCUGUGUCUCGUCCUCCCCUCUGCUGUCAGUCCUCCUCCUCCCUUCACUCUUCCUCACCCUCCCUUCGCUCUUCCUCCCAUGCAUUCUCUCCUGACUCUCGUCUGUUUUGCUGCUCCGCAGAGGAGAGCGUGACGACUUCCUGCGAUCUCGGUCACGAGAGUGCUUCUGGCGGCUCUCGUGCUCCUCUCUGCUGUUCGCACGUUCGUUUUUCCUCCCACAAAGCCUCUCCUGAGUGCGGUUUGCCAGUUUGCUCAGCUCGUUCACGUCCAGGUUCCAUCCCAGAGUUUUAAGAAUGCUCUGCAGCUGUUCAUGCUGCUCACUCACCGAUGAGGUUUCUUCUUUUUCCUCUUCCUCCUCCUUCUUCUUCUUCACUGCCACCGGCGACUUUGAUCGAUUACUAGAGCCCAAACUGUGGUCUCUUUUGCCCUUCUUCUUCUUCUCCUCAUCACCAGGUGGUGAUGUAACGCUUCGGCUGGAAGGAGGCCACGUGAUGUCAGGGCCCUGAGAAAGGUCGGAAAUUCACUUUAUUGUUGAACCAGCAGAUUUGUGGUGAGAAGCUCAGAUGCUGUCAUAAAAAGGAUAAUUACACGCUGCCAUGAUCCAGAUCUCAGAGCCUUCACUCUGAGCUUCAGAGGAUGCUGUUCCUGCAGCACACCACCUUUGCUCCGGCAGGAAGAGCUCCUUCUCUCUCUGGCUAACUGCACCUGAAUAAUAGAAAAAGAAAGCUCUACAGAUGAACGAGAUUUUUGAAAUUGUGACACUGAGUCACUACGAGUCUACAAGUGAGGUGGUUUCAUUUCUUUUAUUUUAUAACAGGCAUUGUGUUUUUUAGCACUGAAAAUCUCGUGUAGAUAUUUCCUGUACAAAAAAAAAAAUAAUGCAAAAAUUCUAUGUACCCAACUCAGAAAGUAUUUAUAAUAUGAAGGUCAUAUUUUUUGUUAUCCAAAUGAACAGAAACAAAAGAACAAAAACAUCUGAUUCUAAGGGGAUCAAGUGGGUCGUGCAAAAAAAGAAACGCACUUUACUCUGAGAGUCUAUUCAGUGCUCCUCACCUUUGAGAAAUAGCUGAGAUAUUGUCGCUGCAUCAGAAUCUCCUUCACUCUGUCUCUUAGAGUUUGACCUACACACAUAGCCGGCUGCUUGUCACCAGAAACACCUGGUGGUGUCUCCACAAACUGCGUUUUCAUGGCGAGGGUAGCUUUCUUGUGCAUAAUUCUCUCCUCCAUCUCUCUGAGGAGCUGCUGCUUUCUUGCUAGCUCUACAUCCUCUUCACUGUAUGGCAGCGGCUCUCCAUCCGGGUCCUCCACCUCUGGGACUUUACUAUGAACAUGAUGAGAUGAAGGACUGAGCUCUUUCCACCUCACAUCACUCCUUUGUGGUUCAGGAACAGUAUAUCUCGAGUGUUCAUGGUAAGUGUCCCAGUCUCUGUGACCUCUGGAGGCAUUCCCCAUGCUGUGGCAGCUUGGCUCCAGAAGUCUCUGGAGUCUGUGGACAGCAUCUUUCCACUCACGUUGAUUCAUUCUGCAGUCCAAGUGUCUAAAGCAGAAACAGUAAGUAAGAAAUAUGCAGCAAGUAUGGGUAAAAGUAGAUGUGUAUGUAUAUUGUGGAACCAUUACCUCCUCACAUAAUGUAAACACAAAGACAUAAAGGCUAUUUUGGAACCAGCAUCGAGCUUUCAUGCUUUCUUUAUACUUAUUUCACAGUUCCACAGCAAAACCCUCAGCGUUAGCUUACAUGAAAGCUCCUAAUGAGCAAACACAGAGCCAACCAAAGUAACCAAGUAACAACCAAACCCGGCAGCCGUCACAUUACAGCAGCUACUCGUUAACGUGUGGAUAGUCGGUGUAACAGACUGAAAGGUGUUUACACAACUUAGCAUCAUUGCUGAAGAAAAAAAAAAGACUGGUAACCUACUAUUGCCGGGCAAACGAGAGCUUCGUCUUUUACAUCGUGGAAAGAUAUUUCAUUUUUAAACUGGGAGCCACACGGACGAAGGACGGUGAAACUCCAACAUUAGAGACGUUUCGGCAGAAAAAAAUGGAAACCAUUAAAGCUAAACAAGCUUCUAGUGUUAACAGAAAGAGGCCAUUACUGAUCACACUGCUUCGGUGGUGUAG